rnacentral:rRNA from 1 species
GCCAGUGAUAAACUGGAGGAAGGUGGGGAUGACGUCAAGUCAUCAUGGCCCUUACGACCAGGGCUACACACGUGCUACAAUGGCGCAUACAAAGAGAAGCGACCUCGCGAGAGCAAGCGGACCUCAUAAAGUGCGUCGUAGUCCGGAUUGGAGUCUGCAACUCGACUCCAUGAAGUCGGAAUCGCUAGUAAUCGUGGAUCAGAAUGCCACGGUGAAUACGUUCCCGGGCCUUGUACACACCGCCCGUCACACCAUGGGAGUGGGUUGCAAAAGAAGUAGGUAGCUUAACCUUCGGGAGGGCGCUUACCACUUUGUGAUUCAUGACUGGGGUGAAGUCGUAACAAGGUAACCGUAGGGGAACCUGCGGUUGGAUCACCUCCUU